rnacentral:rRNA from 1 species
UACGUAGGGGGCUAGCGUUGUCCGGAUUUAUUGGGCGUAAAGAGCGUGUAGGCGGCCAGGUAGGUCUGCUGUGAAAACUCGAGGCUCAACCUCGAGACGUCGGCGGAAACCAUCUGGCUAGAGUCCGGAAGAGGAGAGUGGAAUUCCUGGUGUAGCGGUGAAAUGCGCAGAUAUCAGGAGGAACACCGGUGGCGGAAGGCGGAUCUCUGGGCCGA